GACGAACGCUGGCGGCGUGCUUAACACAUGCAAGUCGAACGGAAAGGCCCUGCUUUUGUGGGGUGCUCGAGUGGCGAACGGGUGAGUAACACGUGAGUAACCUGCCCUUGACUUUGGGAUAACUUCAGGAAACUGGGGCUAAUACCGGAUAGGAGCUCCUGCUGCAUGGUGGGGGUUGGAAAGUUUCGGCGGUUGGGGAUGGACUCGCGGCUUAUCAGCUUGUUGGUGGGGUAGUGGCUUACCAAGGCUUUGACGGGUAUCCGGCCUGAGCGGGUGACCGGCCACAUAGGGACUGAGAUACGGCCCAGAAUCCUACGGGAGGCAGCAGUGGGGAAUAUUGCACAAUGGGAGGAAGCCUGAUGCAGCAACGCCGCGUGCGGGAUGACGGCCUUCGGGUUGUAAACCGCUUUCGCCUGUGACGAAGCGUGAGUGACGGUAAUGGGUAAAGAAGCACCGGCUAACUACGUG
rnacentral:rRNA from 1 species